ensembl:snRNA
UAAAGGUGGUUAAUCAUGAGUGGCUCAUGGAGGGCAGCUUGAUGGCUCUAUAUGCAGAAUCCACAUCGAGAGAUUUCGGAAGCAUAAUUUUUUGGUAUUUGGGCAGCUGGUGAUGGUCGGUCCUGGUGCCCCU